rnacentral:rRNA from 1 species
GAGUUUGAUCAUGGCUCAGGACGAACGCUGGCGGCACGCCUAACACAUGCAAGUCGAACGGAGAUAUUUUGGUUUACUGAGGUAUCUUAGUGGCGGACGGGUGAGUAACACGUGAGCAACCUGCCUCUGAGAGAGGGAUAGCUUCUGGAAACGGACGGUAAUACCUCAUAACAUAACGAAGCCGCAUGACUUUGUUAUCAAAGAUUUAUCACUCAGAGAUGGGCUCGCGUCUGAUUAGAUAGUUGGUGAGGUAACGGCUCACCAAGUCGACGAUCAGUAGCCGGACUGAGAGGUUGAGCGGCCACAUUGGGACUGAGACACGGCCCAGACUCCUACGGGAGGCAGCAGUGGGGAAUAUUGCACAAUGGGGGAAACCCUGAUGCAGCGAUGCCGCGUGGAGGAAGAAGGUUUUCGGAUUGUAAACUCCUGUCUAAAGGACGAUAAUGACGUACUAGAGAUUCGCCC